GAGGGUAUAGCUCAGUGGGAAUGUGUGCUUAGCAUGCACAAGGUCCUGGGUUCAAUCCCCAGUACCUCCA
rnacentral:tRNA from 1 species